rnacentral:rRNA from 1 species
AUUGAACGCUGGCGGCAGGCCUAACACAUGCAAGUCGAACGAGUGGCGGACGGGUGAGUAAUGUCUGGGAAACUGCCUGAUGGAGGGGGAUAACUACUGGAAACGGUAGCUAAUACCGCAUACCAUCAGAUGUGCCCAGAUGGGAUUAGCUUGUUGGUGGGGUAACGGCUCACCAAGGCGACGAUCCCUAGCUGGUCUGAGAGGAUGACGAGCAACACGGGAAAUGAGACACGGUCCAGACUCAGACGGGAGGAAGCAGGUGUGAAUAGUGCAAAAUGGGCGCAGGCCUGAGGCAGCCAUGAGGCGUGUAGGAAGAAGGCCUUCGGGGUGUAAAGUACUGUCACCGGGGAGGCGUGACCCGCAGAAGAAGAACCGGCUAACUCCGUGCCAGCAGGAGCGGUAAUUC